rnacentral:tRNA from 1 species
AGAGAUGGCUCGAAUGGUUAAGGCAACGGAUUGAAAAUCCGUCAGAGGCGCAAGUUUCUUAGGGGUUCGAAUCCCCUUCUCUCCG